rnacentral:rRNA from 1 species
CUCUAAGUUGACUGCCGGUGACAAACCGGAGGAAGGUGGGGAUGACGUCAAAUCAUCAUGCCCCUUAUGAUUUGGGCUACACACGUGCUACAAUGGACAAUACAAAGGGCAGCGAAACCGCGAGGUCAAGCAAAUCCCAUAAAGUUGUUCUCAGUUCGGAUUGUAGUCUGCAACUCGACUACAUGAAGCUGGAAUCGCUAGUAAUCGUAGAUCAGCAUGCUACGGUGAAUACGUUCCCGGGUCUUGUACACACCGCCCGUCACACCACGAGAGUUUGUAACACCCGAAGCCGGUGGAGUAACCUUUUAGGAGCUAGCCGUCGAAGGUGGGACAAAUGAUUGGGGUGAAGUCGUAACAAGGUAGCCGUAUCGGAAGGUGCGGCUGGAUCACCUCCUUUCUA